CGCUAGUCCCGCGCGACCACCACUUACCCUGCGACUGCACGCCACACAAGGAAAGUCCACAUCCGCGACUUCCCCUGUGAAUCUGUGAUCCCCUGCCGCUCGCCACGCGAUCUCCGUGGCCUUCCUUCUUGAUCCCUCAGCCCUGUCACCACCAUCGCGAAAUCCCUGCGACCGCAGCCACCAUCUGCAUCAUGCAUCAGACGAUCCUUCCUCCCCACUCUCCAACUCCUGCACCAACAACCAAGACCUAUCCCCAAAUCCAGGUCGAUGGAGGUGGCGGCGGCAUGGUGCCACAGGCAGCCCAACGACGGCGAGAGAAAGGAGACAGCAGCAACUGCUGCUCCAUAGACUACGUCGCUACAGACCAUGACUUCCUCAACUCCUGCUACACCCUCGCUCAUGGCUGCCACUAGGUGUGCUAACCCCUUCUCUUCCCUUUCCUGUUGUGCAAAACCGAGCACCCAACCCUAACUUAAUUUGUUUGGCUAUUUGUAUUCUGAUCUGAUCUAAUUAUAGUAUACAUAUAUUGUGCCUGCUAACUUCGAUCCAUUCAAAAGAUUAUCAUGUGUAUAUGUGCACACCCAUGUUUACUGGAUCUGCUCCUGCAGUUCUAUGUGCUUUGCACUGAACGUUCCUAGCCCUUCUGCUCUUCAUCCUCCCCAUCUUGGACUGAUGUUGAAAUUUAGAUGAAUAUUCUUGGAUUUAUUUUUUCUCAGGACAGAUUCACUGAGGGACAGUUGAUUUGAAAUAUGCCUUUGCAAUUGUCAUGUAUAAAAUCUAUUUAUUGUUGCUAGAUCUCUAAAAUAAAUCUUUUGCUCCAACAAUUUAUCUUUUUAUGAAGUCCUGAUGGUCUUAUUCAAAGUUUACUUCAUGAGUUUCCAUUUUUGUUAGCACAAAAUGUGUUAUUUUAUAAGACAGUUUAUAUUGUGAGCAGUAUACCAUUUUAAAUUGAUAAAAAAAAUUAGUGGCAUGAAUAUGAUCAUACAUGGAAACAUGAGGAGACUCGAGGGUGCUGGUGCUCUCUAACUGUUGCCACACUGCUGUUGCUGCUCUCUGCUUGCCGGCAACCAAGCUGAGUUUGGGAAAUCAGGAAAGGUGUUUCCAGGUUUUAGUAUCUUUCAUAUUAUCUAUCUUUCAGAUCAAUGAAGUGGUUUCGGCUGAGAGUCUCAUGUGGCUUCUAAAUGAAACUUUUCAAGAUAUUUUAGAUUUCACAGAUUUUUCAGUCAGCCCCUACUGAAGGUAACCAAUACACCUUUGUCCUCUAUUUUGAUCUUCUCGAUCUACUUUGCCAAAUUUCAGAUCUAAGCGAUGUCAAAUACUAAGAGCAAUGACGAUUUUUUCCAUGUAUCGUUCUUUCCAGUUUUGGGCUGAAUUUGUGUCUUGAAAGUAACAAUAGUGUAAUCUUAUCGUCGAAAUGAUUUUGGCUUGAAAAUAACUACAAAUAAUGAUUCACCUUGAAAUCUUUUUUUUUCUUGACAGUGAUAUUCAAAUGAAGAACUAAUUUAAGUUUUUAAGACAUAGUGAAAUAUGCCUUUGUGGAAACAAAUUGUGAUCAAUAGAAUUUGGUAUCUUUUUCAUCUAUACAGAUAAUUAGAAGAGAUACUCUCCAAUAUUUACAGUAGUAAUAAUUGAAUGGCAGAAUGGAGUAUCUUAACAUAGUGAGCAAUUAUUAAAAUGAAAUGCAUCAAAAAGAAGGCCACAUUGUUGCAGUUUGAGGGCUGCAGGCAAGCUCACAGUUGAGCUCAGCUCAGCUCUACUAUGCUUUACACUCUCCCUCACUAGCAUACAUGUUUUGAUUAGCAUUGAAAAAUAAUUAAUAAGCAUCCAUGUGACACUGCGUCACUAUGUGUGGACAGUGUGCCAAAGCUAAACUAAAAUUAAAGCUGAAGUUAGCAGAACAAUAUGUGGCCAAUUUAUUUGCAAGCAACAAGAAGCUCCAAGCUGACUUGUUCUUUAUGCUAGGUUGUAGAUAGUUUUUUAUUCUCUAAGAAUUCAUACAAUUUCUGUGGAUUAGUGUACAUUGUUUCAUUGAGUGAGAGACCCAGCGAUGAAAAAAAUGUUGAUCAAUCCCAGUAUAUGCAUGCUAUCUUGAUCUAAUGAAAAAAAUUAAAUAUGCCACUACUACCCCUGGGUUGCCUUUCGUCCAUUCAAGUCAAGCUCAUUGCCAAGUUCAUUCAGUGUAAUAGUUUCAUGAAUGGUGCAUUGAUAUACAUAUCAAAGCCAUCAGUAGAUGUGUAUAUAUGUUUUUCAGGUUUGGCAUGACCACCUAGCAGUGGUACUACCACUCAGAGAUGCAACUCUAGAAACCAGUUCAGGAGUUAGUAUCCUUUCUGUUGACCAGUUCAGCAAGGACUUAUACAUAGUUGCAUAUGGAAAACUAUUUCAAUGGUUACUGAUUAAGCAAUAUACUCGCCUGGGCUAUUAGGCCAAUUUUCCUUCUGAUCCACCUCAACUAGAAAGCUUUUUACAGGCCAAUCGGUGAUUGGAUACCUUUGGGGAUCCUUACAAAUACAACCCAUGGAGGUGAUGCAACAUCAAUCUUUCAUUGCCUUUUCAGAUGAGUGUUUCCACUCUAAGUUCUGUAGAAGCAUGUGAGAUACUGCAUCUUCAUAGUCAGCAUACACAUCUCUGCAGCAGGUCUGUAGCCAAGGAAAGUGAGGCCCAAUAAAUAAAUAUUUCAAUGCAGAGAAAAUUGUCGAUAAAAAAUUAACUUACCUUCUUGUACAUCAGCAAAAAAAUUCUUGUGGAAAAAAGAGUUGAAUCCUCAAUUUGAUCCUUAGUCCAGUCAUUGGUUGUUCCAUCUCCAUAACAAGCUACGGAUACUGCUGCAGGUAAGUAACAACUGAUACUACAUAACAAGCUUCAUCUACUGAUAUUACUCGAGGUAAUUAACUGAUACUGCAUAACAAGCUUCAUAUGUGCUUCUGCAUAAAAAUGAUAAUGCUCGUGGUAAAUGACAGAUAUAGCUCAUGUAAAAAAGAAGUAACAACAUAAUGCAGAAUUAUUCAUGUGAAAAUACAGUAGAAAAUUAUACUGGUAUAAGUCUCUUAGAAAACUAAUAAGUCAAAUUCAGGUUAUCCUAUAUAAGAACAUUGUCAACAAUGGGUGCUGCAAUAAAAAGACUUUUCAGUUUUAUCAUAAUCAGAAGCUAUUGGUCUCUACUUUAAUUAAACUGGCCAAUAGAAACUGCACCAAAACUGAAAACAUUACUGUCAAAUUUUGCCCUUUAAGCAGAUCCAUUCGAUUGCCUAGUCCAUUACAUGGUUGGAACAAAUCAACUGCAUCACUUGUACCAAAAUUAUUGUUAGCUAGAUAUAGAAUAACAAGGGGAAAAGGAGUGUGUUUGGUUAACAAUAUCUCAAAUGACAAAUAAAAUGUUUUCACUUCCAGGAGGAAAAUAAAGCUGUGCACCAAAAUACAUAGAUCGAUUCUAACAUUCCUGAGAAGAGAGGAGAGAUGGGGAUCAUACCUCAGUAGGGAUCGUGAUGCCAAGAGAGGGCACUGUUUAGAGAGGAAUAUUCACAGGAAGGAUGAGAAGGCAGCAUCCAUCAUCAAAUCCGGCAACCACCAUCCCUUUCCUCACCACGACUUGAUCUGAAUGAGAAGAUAGAAGGAAGCGGAGGGAUCUGUUCAAAUCUGGAUCCCAUGGGUUUGAAGAUGGCAGUGUAGACUUGAUGGAGAGGCCAAACUGCAGUCCCAAGAUCCAGCAGGGCAACGAGACUGUUGACAAACUGCAUCCUGCAUUCAUAGGGAGCGCUGAUGAAGAUUUGACUCCCACAGUGCGCAGCCGUGGCAUGCUGAAGCCGAUGAUGAUUUCGGUCGUGCAGUGCGCAGCUGCGGCACGCCAAAGAGAAGUUGGGCGAGGGAGCGAACCCUAGUUGCGGUUAUGCGAAGAGGUCCAAUCCACUGCUGAACCCGUGGACGGCGUCAUCUCGUAUCGCAAUUAGGCCCUCCCAUACGUCAAACAAAUCAGCCCCCUCCCUAAACUAUUCUCCGCCCGUUCCUUUCUGUUCGUGCUCCUCGGCAUGUGGCGGCGAGGGCAUUGAGGGGGGCUGAGGCUGGAGGAUCGGUGGCGAGUUGAAGCUGUUUGCACUAGUUGCAGGAGACACUGGAGUCGUCUUCUGGCUCAAGAUCAAAGGAUGGUGGCGCAAGAUCAAAGGAGGGUGAUUCCUGCAUACUGCAUUAACUAUUUUUCCAUGAAUGAACAAGCUGUUGUUGCCUACAGGUAACUGCAAAGAAGGGCCGCCGAGCAAGUUGCCUCUAGCCGCAGGCGACGACAACAGUGUGGUGGCCGGUGUCGAAGCUAGCGAGGGGGCGACGGCAGCAGUGUUGAAGCCGUCGAGGAGGCGAUUUGAAGCAGGCCGAGGAGGGGCUAACGGCAGCUGCGUCGUGGGCCGGGAGGGGUGACGGCAGCGCCAUGGUGGCCGAGGAGGGGGUGACUGCAGCGCCGUGGUAGGGCAGGGAGGGGCCCACGGCAGCUGCGUGCUAGUCGGCGAGGGGGCGAUGGCGGCAGUGUGAUGGCCGGCGAGGGAGCAACCGCAGCGACAUCGUGGCCAUCAUGGAAGCGACGCAGUGGAUUGGGCUAACUGCAUCUGAUGGGUGUGGUACCAACUUCAAACAAGGAAAAUGGACGAAGGGGCCUAAUUGCAAUACGAGUUGACGCCGUCCACGGGUUCAGUAGUGGAUUGGGCUUAAAUGGCACCAAAACACAGAUUA